UACGUAGGGUGCGAGCGUUAAUCGGAAUUACUGGGCGUAAAGCGUGCGCAGGCGGUUUUGUAAGCCAGAUGUGAAAUCCCCGGGCUUAACCUGGGAAUGGCAUUUGGGACUGCAAGGCUGGAGUGUGGCAGAGGAGACUGGAAUUCCUGGUGUAGCAGUGAAAUGCGUAGAUAUCAGGAGGAAUACCGAUGGCGAAGGCAGGUCUCCGUGGGCUAACACUGACGCUCAUGCACGAAAGCGUGGGGAGCAAACAGG
rnacentral:rRNA from 1 species